rnacentral:rRNA from 1 species
AUUGAACGCUGGCGGAAUGCUUUACACAUGCAAGUCGAACGGCAGCACGGGGGCAACCCUGGUGGCGAGUGGCGAACGGGUGAGUAAUACAUCGGAACGUGCCAGUCGUGGGGGCAUAACUACGCGAAAGCGUAGCUAAUACCGCAUACGAUCUCUGGAUGAAAGCGGGGGUACCGCAAGGCCUCGCGCGAUUGGAGCGGCCGAUGGCAGAUUAGGUAGUUGGUGGGGUAAAAGGCCUACCAAGCCGACGAUCUGUAGCUGGUCUGAGAGGACGACCAGCCACACUGGGACUGAGACACGGCCCCAGACUCCUACGGGAGGCAGCAGUGGGGAAUUUUGGACAAUGGGCGCAAGCCUGAUCCAGCCAUUCCGCGUGCAGGAUGAAGGCCCCUCGGGUUGUAAACUGCUUUUUGUACGGAACGAAAUCGGCCUGCUCUAAUACAGCGGGCUAAUGACGGUACCGUAAGAAUAAGCACCGGCUAACUACGUGCCAGCAGCCGCGGUAAUACGUAGGGUGCAAGCGUUAAUCGGAAUUACUGGGCGUAAAGCGUGCGCAGGCGGUGAUGUAAGACAGAUGUGAAAUCCCCGGGCUUAACCUGGGAACUGCAUUGUGACUGCAUCGCUGGAGUGCGGCAGAGGGGAUGGAAUUCCGCGUGUAGCAGUGAAAUGCGUAGAUAUGCGGAGGAACACCGAUGGCGAAGGCAAUCCCCUGGGCCUGCACUGACGCUCAUGCACGAAAGCGU